rnacentral:hammerhead_ribozyme from 1 species
AUCCAGCUGAAGAGUCCCAAACAGAACGAAACGCGUGUCCUGGAU